GAUGAACGCUGGCGGCGUGCUUAACACAUGCAAGUCGAACGUGAGGGUGUAGCAAUAUGCCUGAAAGUGGCGAACGGGUGAGUAACACGUAGAUGACCUGCCCUGGAGUGGGGGAUAACCAUUGGAAACGGUGGCUAAUACCGCAUACAUCAAGAAGAUUGGGAAAUUUUCUGGGGAAAGCUCUGGUGCUCUGGGAGGGGUCUGCGUCCGAUUAGCUAGUUGGUGAGGUAAAGGCUCACCAAGGCGACGAUCGGUAGCUGGUCUGAGAGGACGAUCAGCCACACGGGAACUGAGACACGGUCCCGACUCCUACGGGGGGCAGCAGUGAGGAAUAUUGGGCAAUGGGCGAGAGCCUGACCCAGCAACGCCGCGUGGAGGAAGACGGCCUUCAGGUUGUAAACUCCUUUUGACAGGGAAGAGAGAGGACGGUACCUGUCGAAUAAGUCACGGCUAACUACGUGCCAGCCGCCGCCGUAA
rnacentral:rRNA from 1 species